GGUUUGAAUAAGGGUUGCUGGACGCUGUUUUCCUAUUGACAAAUCCUUCUGUUCUGCAGGUACACAGGGGUGGGAUGGCUGGAGGAUGGGGAAGGGAGAGGAUCCAAAGGCACUAAGAACUGUCUUGGCCUUUCUACAAUAAAUUUCCCAGCAUGACACAGAAGCACAGUUACACACUUGCACACACACCACUGAGCCUCCCAAGUGUUGAAAUACUACAUCCAGGCAUAUAUUAAACUAACAAAUUUAAAAAGAAACUACCAUGUCCAGCAAUACUCUAAUCAUCCAAAGUAGUAAUAGUAAAGGUAACUGAUGCUAAUGUCUAUUAAUGCCCCAAAACAUUUAAAAACUCAAGAAGAAAAAGAAAUCUACCCUGAUAAAUAUGAAUAUAUGUUUUUAAUUUAUGCUUUUCUUUAUUUUUAAUUUAUGCUUUUCUUGAAAAAUUAUUGUCUUCCAAUGAUUAAUUCUUUUGAGUCAGGGUGAUGUAUGGUUUUGCCCUGAAACUUUCUUUCUAAAAGAAAUCCCUAGUCUCAGUUUGCUUUCUAAACAAAUGACAGGAGAAACCAUAGGAAAAUGUAAUUCAAAAUCAAAAAGGCUCAUAAGUUUCACUUUCUGAAAAAGUUGCCAGCACCUGGAUAUAUAAAAUUAUACUAUUUCUACAAACACAAUCCUUGAAUUGGAAGCUGGCCCAGAUUUCUACUUCCCCAGAUUCCUACAUUCCCUGUGCAACCCUCUUCAAUCCUGGGCUUGGUGUCUUUUUGGCUUUUCACCAGUAUUCAAAACGUUCCCCUAGUUCAGGCUCUGCAGCCAGCUGUCCAGGAGGCUCCCUGAUGGUUGCAUUAACAUCCUGGGGCAAUACUGCCGUCGUGUGGGCAUGUAAAAUGCUGCAGGUUCAUCCCAAAGUGAAGUUGCAUUUUCCCAACUACAGGCACAAAUGAGUCUUCUCUCUGCUCUUUCACUUCUAGGUUAAUGGGACUCCUGGGUGACUGAAGAUGUCAAGAGGGUUUUGGGUAGACAAUUUGUAGUGCCUGUUUGUCCUGUCUCUGAGAUCUUGAAUAAACUUUGGGAACCUAUUGGGUGAGAGUUGUUGGAAAUGUAAAUUUACAAGAUGCAUUCUUAAUAUAUCAGACCUAAUUAAAAAUUUUGCCAAUAAAACAAUGUGGCAACCCUGUACCAUGUGUGAUGGCAUGCUUGUGACUUGAUUUAUCCUUGUAAAAAUGACUUUACUGGAUAUGUGGUCACCAGACCUAAUGGCCUCUGUGAUUUAAUUUUUUAAAUAUGGGAAAUAUCUUUGCUGCCGAAACUCACUAACAUCUUUUUGAACUUUACGGGAAUUGAUGUUUCCAGCUGAAAGAUGGAUUUAGAGUUUGGGACAGAAAACACAGUGAUGCUAAAAACCAAAAGUUAUUUGGAAAAAACAUUUGAAUCAGCACCGAAAUGAUGUAGUUUAGCAAAAACAUUAACAAUAAAACAUUACCUUUCUUGUCAUAAGACUAUUUUCUUUUUUACAAACAGCUUAUAAACUUUCUCUGUGAUGAACCUUCGUAUACAGUUCAGCUGAAGACUAUAAGCCUGUUAGAGUCCCUUGGGAAGAAGAAACCUAUGCAUCUAGGUUGUUCCUAAAAAAGCUGUUGUUCAACUAAGACAUGCUGUCCUUACAGUGCUGUCACCGCCAGAAAUAAUCUUUAAUUCUGUCUUCUUGGUGUGAAUUCUCAACUAGUAAAACUCUAUAUUGAAAUGCAAAUUAGCUCUUCCGAGUACAAGCUUGUAAAAAUGUCAAAACACCUCACAAAAAUUCUAAUUGCCACAUAAUUAGGUAUCUAAACAAAAGUUCUAUGCUGAUAUUUUAAUUUUGCUUCAUUGCAAUAAUGUACAUUCAAUAAUGGGCCCAACUAGGACAAGGUGAUAAGUUAGGGAAGAAAGUAGCUAAUAGCACCAAAUAAGGAUGCCCCUGAACCCAGAGCCUGGCAGAAAAUAGAAUGGACUUCCAGAGAAACAUCAUGGGGCCUAGGGAAAUAAACACCGCUUAGGGAGAAUUAGAUUAGCCAGAGUACAACAAACUUCCAUUACAAGCUGGAAUUUCUUUUAGAAGGAAUACAUGAAAGUGUGUCUUUAUAAAGAGGUGGUAUCCUGGAGUGAGCACUAAAUCAGUCUAAUGCCUUCAAUCUUCUUGAUUUCCCCCUACAGAACUGUACUUCUUAUUAAUGUUUGUAAUGACCACCUGUGGCACUGUAGGAUGCUGAAUUACCAAAGAAAGAUUAAAUUAUGUCCUAUUGAUGACACUUAAUAGACGUCUAGCAGGUGCACAUGUUACAGAAUGAUAUUUGACAAAUGUAGAAAUGAUAAGGGUUAUCUGAUCUGUCUGAAAUUAAUCAGAAGCUUCAGUUAAGUAGAACUCCAGUUCUGAUAACAUUCCAUUAUUAUUAUCAUCAUUAUUAUUGUUACUAUUAAGAAUUAUAGCCCCUUUUCAACUCAUCACUACCUUUAUUGUGGAAUCACCUGUGUUCAAUGUACCUAUAUUUUAGAAGGACAACGGGGCACCAAAGUUGCUAGCCUGAUCCUAUAAUUGCCAUCUUCAUCUUUCAGUAUGGAAUAUAUUAUAUUUACAUUAAAAAUUAUCCCUUACAAGAUCCCUUUGAACAAUUUUUCAAAUAUAUGUUUAAAGACAAGUACAUUAAUUUCAAGAAAAUUUCUUAUGAGAUUAGAGGAUGUAAUGUUAGUAUGAUCUACUAAUAACCUAGUAACUAUCAUUUAUUGAUUACCUACAAAGUCACUUGUGUUUUAUAUUCAUUAUCUCUAAUUUUUAAGGUACCCCUGCAAGGUUGGCAGUAUUAUCUUCACUGUCCAGAAGAAGAAAUAGUUUCAAGAGGCUAAGUAAUCACAGUAAGAUCAUAUGGUCAAUAAGUGCAAAAACAAGACUCAAGCCUCACUGGGUUUUAAUGGAAGAACCAUGUGGUGUUUGAGUAGAAAAAUCUAUUCCCUCUCCUCUCUCUCUCCCUCUCUCUCUCUCUUUUCCCAGUGAUAAACAGUAGGAAGUGGGAUUAGUCUGUGUUGAACCCUAUUACUUCAGCCCACAUUCAUUGCUCAUCUUUCCACUAUUUUUAGUUUUUCCUUCUGUUCUGGACUCUUCCUUUCUUCCUUCAAAUAGAAAAAGGUCACACCUCUAUUUAAAACAUCACAGAACACCCAUAUUUUUGCUCUUCUAUCAACUUACCAGUCUAAAUCUUUUUUAUUUUCAGCUAAACUUAUUAGAUGAAUGUCAUAAUUGCCCCAUUUUCACUUUGCUUUCACUCUCAUGGCCACCACUGGAAUGAAGCUGUUCUUCAGACUUACUUAUGACAUCUGCUCCAGUUUCAAAGGCUGUCUCCAAGUCCUGACUUUCUGAAAUUCUCUGCAGCAUCUGACACAAUUAAUCUCAUCCACCCUCACCUACUGCCAGUAAAAAUACUGGCAGCUGACACACAUGGAACAGCGACUUGGUGCUAGGCUCUGGGUUAAGCACUUUAUAUGCAUUAUCUCAUUUAAUCCCCACAACAUCCCUGUGAGGUUGGCACUGUUAUGGGUCCCCAUUUUACAGAUGAGGAAACUGAGUCUCGGGGGGUAAAGUAACUUGACCAGUAUUACACAAGCAAAAACAUGGUGAAGAUAGCUGUUGAUCCAAUAUGCUGUGCUAUCUUUAAAAUUAUUUAGCCAGUCUUUUACUAUCUGCUGGGCACAAAGCCAAGUUCAUUAGAGGUAUUAUCUGAUUAUUUUGUGUUAUAUUUUCUCCUAUUAUACCUAACUCUAGGUCUAUUGCAAGAUCAAGUUUGUGAUCCUCUGCCUAUUUCUCCUCUUGACUACUUCAAAUUCCAAGUAUUUUUUAGAAGAUUUUAACUUGCAUCAAAUAAUUAUUGAUGUACAGGUCAUGGUGGCAGGGCUCUGGACAUAGGAAAGUGAACAAGGUAGGCUUGCUGCCUGCUUGAAGUUGACAACAUAGUGGAUAGAAAGUGAGACAGAGAAGCCACAAAUCAUUACCUGAGCCAAUCAGUGGCCCACUGAGAACACUCCUUCCAGGUCAUGAAAUUUCAAGUGAAGUGGCACACCAGCUCACCCACCUACUUCCCACCCCGACCCCAGAAUCCCCUUCCUGGAAACCUUGUGCUACCUCCAAAGCCAAACUCUCAAAUAAACCCCAGCACCUUCCAGAGAUGCCGUUUCAGUGGUGGGGUUUGAGGUGAGUACUCUGGGACCCAGCCUGGGUUUCACAGAACUAGGAGACUAUCUGCCCUGGGCUGGCCCCAAGGCCAGUGUCAGAAGUACCCCCACCCUCCUGAUUAUCAGUCAACCCAGAACAAACGCUUUCCUCUACUUUCCCUUAAUUGUACUUGGUGCUAGUCAUCUCUGUGGCAAGAAUAUGAGCUUCUCACAAGCUAAUAAUGAAACAUAUCUUUGGUUCUUUCACAGCACCCAGCUUUGGGCUAAGUAUGUAAAUGUGGGCGUCAGAUACACCUGCUUGAGUAAAUGUCUCCUCUCAAUACCUGGAAGAAUGAUGAGUGUUUGCUCUUCUACAAACCAACUCAAGGCACCCAGAAAGCAAGGAAGCUUCCAAAGAAAAAUGGAGUUAUAUUAAAAGGAUGUAGGCAUUAUCUUGAAGGGUUUUCUACUGGUCAAAGUUGGGAUAAUUUAAGCAUCAAAUAAAUGAUAGCUGUAAAUUGAAUAUAUAAGAA
ensembl:lncRNA novel transcript